rnacentral:rRNA from 1 species
AUGUGGGCUAGCGGCAGCAGUAGGCUUCAGUACACAUUUCUUGGAGAUGUCAUAACAUUUGAUACCACGUAUAAGAUAAACCUGUACGACAUGCCUUUCGGGUUGUUUCUUGGUGUUAACAAUCAUUUUCAGAGUACCAUAUUGGCUGGAGUUCUUGUUUGCGAUGAGACAGCGAAGAGUUUUGAGUGGGUUUUCACCGAAUUUCUGAGAAUGAUGGGUGAUGAUCCACCGGUGACCAUACUUAUAGGUAAAUUCGUCACAUAUUGUCAUGUCAUUGCUGCUUAUGUUGAAAUAUUUAACAGGCAAGAAAGCAACCAUAGGAAGCUAAAGUUUCGGCUUCGCUUUAUGGAAACCAGAACCAAGCCAUGGAGCUAG